UGGGGCCCCAGCACCCCUGUUUCUGCAGCCCUCUAAAGCAGUGACAGGCCACCCCCGGUACCCUGCAAAUCAUCUCAUAAGCCUGGUUGUGCUCAGGCUCCUUUCUCUCACCAAAAGAGCUGUGAGGCCAGUUGUUAGCCUAAGAUGAGGGUGUAUUUUGCAUCAGGAUUGCCUGGGGCAGUAUCUGGAAAUUUAGUAGUCCUGGGGAAUGGCUUCUCUACCUAUUGGUAGCAUUCCAGCAUCACUUUUUAAGCAGUUACCUUGAAUAAAACCACUGUUCUCAAAUUGAAGUUUGAGGGAACCCUUCCCCUCCCUCUCUCUUUUAGUGGGUGUUGUCCAUUUAAGCACCUGGUCAGACUUCCACCAGUUGCCUAUUAAGCCUUUUAAAUGCUCACCUAUAAAGGUGCAAGGCUCUGGGAAUAGGUGGAGUCUAUCUGUCCACUGACUGAGUCUUUCUCAAGCAUCUGACCCAAGUUUAUGGGUUCUGAGCACACAGCUUGUUUCUGGUUCCUGCAAGUGUCCUACUUUGAGAAAGGAAGUCUGGGCUUGGGACAUUUCCCCUGAGGAUUAGUGCAAAGGCUGUUUUUUUUUCUAAAAGAAAUUGGUUUUAAAAUAAGAAGUGAUUACAAGGUGCGGCAUUAAUGGAUGGCUUAUGCACCAGCAGCUCCCGUGCCCAAAUGAAUUUGUGUCAAUGGCACUGAGAACAGGAUAUGCAUUAGCAGGGACAGCAUGGAGGUAUGUAUGCAUCAGUGACUACAUGUAUAGCUGUUUAUGCUUCAGUGCCAUUCAGAUAUGAGCCAGUGAGUCUGUAGAAAAGCAUUAGGUUUGUAUCACUGAGUUUUCUGAGAAAAGGGGAUAGGUUUUAAAAGAGCUUGCAGAGAGUUUGAGUUUUAUUGGAAAGUCCAAAGUGAGUCUCUCUCUUCUGAGAGCUUGCAACAGGGAGUUGGAAACCAUGCAGAAACAGAUCUGUGAGGAUGUUGCAGCUGAACCGUGCACAGAUGGUAAGCUAAAAGCCCAAGUAUAAACAGCAUCUUCUACAACAUACACAGUAGGCUGGGUUCUCAGCUAGCAAUAAGCCAAAAGUGCCUGUAAGAAGACAGAGUGGAGAAGCCCACCAUUACAUGGCAUGUAGUACUAAGGAUUGAACGCCCUUUCAACCGCAGCCAGACACCAGCCCAGAGGUCACUCAGCUGAGCAGUCUGUUUUGGCCUUGGGUUAUCUUCAUUUCAAACCUCUCUCUGGCAGAUGAAUCCUCUCCUUUUUAGAAGGAAUUAAUCUCUUUACCCAGCCAUGUCUAUUUGCCUAUUUUGCAGCUAGAAAUGGGAGAUCUUUGCACACCAGCCCAGGUCCCUGGGAUGUAGCCUGUUGCAGGUUCUGAUGCAGUUGUACAGGAGGUCCCUUCAGGCACAGGGCUGUCUCUGCUACACCUUUGUGGCCAUUUGCAGCCUGCUCUACGUUGUGAGAAGCUGUAGAAUCUUAGGUUUAGCUGGCAUAGUAUGCUGCCCAACUUGUGACACGUUCCAGAGCAGGGUACAAGCCCUGAGCUUGUGCCUUCACUGCUGUGGCAGUUGCUGAAACAGCUGUCUGUGUGCUAUAAAGCAGUCUCAGACAAAUACUUGUCAUUAAGUCAUUAAUGCACUGUUUAGGGAGAGCACUGUUUAAGAGUGAGACAUACGCAGAUUCACAGUGUUUGUGUAUUUAUAUUUCCUUUAGAUAAGCCUUUGAAUUGGCCUCACAUUACUGUUAAUCUCAGAGAGGAAGGAUUUGUGUGCUGACAGGGCCAGAACGGUGAGAAGAUGAGGAAAUGCAGUGCCGAGUGCUCCAGUAAAUUCCAGGUUAAACAAAAUGUGACCUGGCAACCUACAGCCUGCAGUCAGUGUCUGUUUAACAACACAGCAUAAAAUAUAGGGCUGGAAUACAAAGUGCACUUUAAGAAUACAGAUUUUGUUAAGUCUAAUGUUGGCAGAAGUGUUCUCAUGGCACCCUCAUGGAACCCUCUUCUUUUAUUUGCCCAAAGCUGUGAUUUUAUCGGGGGAACAAGGAUGGGGAUUAAUUGUAUACAAAAAUAAUGGUGGGAGUGAACAGCAAUAAAAGUGCGGUGGUUGCUGGGACUUGGGGAGGCAACUUUCACUCACAUUACAGAAAAAUAUGUUUAUCAAAAGGUAUAAUUUUAAAGUGGUCUGUUCUAUUUCAGGGCUAAUUAUUUUUAACAAUCCUGGUUUAAAACUUCAGAGAAAGCAAUCCAGCUUUAGUGAAUUGAAAUAAUUUUCCUGAUGCCCAGUUGCCCUCACCUGGCUGAAGGGAGAAAUGCAGGCAACUGAAAGAUUCCGGCAGAAGGGAAACCUAGGCAUAGAGUGAUGAGAACACAGAACAUCCCGAGCUGAAAAAGACCCGCACAGAUCAUGGAGCCCAACUCCUGGCUCCAGACAGGGCCACCCAAAAUUCGAACGCAUGAGGCAUGGAAAAGGGAGUGAGACUGUUCCCCUGAGACACCGCAGAAGAGGGGAGCAGCUCCUCCUGUAGGUUGUUAGUUUGGGACUCUGCGCGGGACCUCACAACUGGCUGCUACAGAGUGACCGUACCCCCAAACUCAGCGUUUUGCAAGAGAACAUCGCUGCCCCCUCAAGGGGAGAUAGGAACACACAGGAAUAUGUCUUCAGAGCUUAAGCUUUUGUGAUCCAAUGAGUAUCGGCAAAUAUAAGAGCAUGUGCCCUCCUGAGAUGGAUAUUUUUCUAACCUUGGGGAUGGGGAACUUGCUGGAACAAGGUGUAUUGUCAGGAUUUUCAAAAUUUCUCCUUUUUUUUUUAAAAAAAAAAAAUCAUUAUACAAAAAUCUCAAAAGGUCUUCCACAGAGUGUGAGCAGGUCAUAGACAUCUCUGGAUUGAAAAGAGACCAGCACUGCUGUUAUGUGGCAGAAAAGACAGAAAAUGCCAGAUGAAUUCCAAAAAACGUGAUGGUCAUUAAGGAGUUCUUGCUGAUGCUCCUGAGCUCUGUUCAGUACCUGGGUAUGCCUGGGCUAACAGCAGCCAGGGUAUGACCUUAUGAACCUUGGUGGAGGUAGGAAUUAACCUGAUUUUACAAUUCUCUUUGCACACUUUACAGUAAUCUUUGGCAACCAGAGGUAGUUCCAAGGAAGUGGCAUUCAGGCUCAGUCCCUUUAAAAUUGUACAGAUGUGAACAAACACCUGAUUUGAAGUAAACAUCUUGGGCUGAGAGGAAUGAACAUUACCCAGAAAUGGGAAGAGGCUUCCCUGCUGUUGUGUUGGGAAUGUGCAGGGACAGGUGCUGAUGCUUAGGCAGUGUUAAUUCCACACCCCGUGGCUCCAGAGACUGGUGAGAAGUUGUCUCUUUCAGUCCAGUUAACAUAAACACUUGAGAAAAACUAGGGGAGGAGAACUCAAUUCUAAGUCUGCCAAAGGAAAUGAAAAUAUUCAGGAGCUGAUAUUGGCAGGCUGAAUAUUUUCUCAGAGAAAUUGGUGCAACUCUGGUAUGACUUACCUGAAGGAGCAAAGUGAGUGGAUCAAGCAAUCCUAUGACACUAAUACUUCUCAUGCAAGCUCAGAUCCAUGAGGGUAUUUAGAGGCUUAAUUCCCUUCAAUUUUAUUUAUGAAGGCAUCCAAGUGCCCUGCUACAUAGAGCCAAUUUUAAAUCUUGCAUUGCAUUCCCACUUUUACCUCCCUGCUUCUUCUCACCAGAUACAUCUUCCAGUGCCCACGUGGGCAGAGAGGUGCCAAAGUGCUUCCCUGGGUCACCACUGAUGUGCAUAUAGCUGCAGCAAACCACACAUAGAAACCAAAUCCUUGAGAUCUGCACAUGACUUGCAACUGUCCAUGUGUUUCUCUUCCACUUGGUGUCUCUCUUUAGUCUCAAAUCUGGGGCUGGAUCUCCAGUAUUGCUCUCUUGGGGGAUGACUAUUUGUUAUUUGCAUUAUAGAAGUACCCCAAAGUUUUGGUUCAGCAGCACAGCACCCCAGUGAGCAGCACAGAACCACAAAACAUGAGACUAUCUUUCCCUCUCUUCCAAGCUGUAUAGCUUCUCUGUACUCUCUCCAUCCAUUUUAAAUGUUUAAGAAAUUAAAAUACUUACUUUGCCUGUGCUGUUUUCUCUUGAAAAUAACACAUUUGUUGCCCAACUUAAUCUAGUUCACAUUAUCCAUAAUUUGAGUCACACUCUCACCAGUGCUGGAGUUUGCAGGCACACAAGUAAAACGCAAAGCAUUACUUCACUGAAUUCUAAAUAGCAUUUUUUAAAGGGAUGAAUUCAAAAUAACGUCAAACAAAAAUGCAGUCUUUGUCCUUGGUGCAAACAAAGGAGACGGGGGAGAAUUUAAGAGCACUGUACAAUAUUUCUAAUUCUUCUGCGUAUUCCAGUGGAAAAUUCUGGGGAGGGAGGAGACGUGAUUUAAGCCUUCAUAUACCAAAAUCCAACAACUUUAUGGCACAUUAGACUGUCGUGACAGGGAAAUCCAGAAGCUUGGCUUCCUUUUCAAUUUGUACCAAGUGCAAGCCAGUUUUCAGUGAUAAAAGCUACGCUGAAACUCCCUGCUUUGAAACACUUUAGGUAUUUGCUGCCGCACAUGGAAAACACUGCGGCUUGCAGCAUAUAUGCCUUAAUGUGUCUGAUUCACUCCCACUUCUGGACCUUUUCAGUUUUGCCAGUUCCUCUGAGAUUAAAUCUCUGAGAGAAAGUGGUCCAGAUCUAAUGUGUUUGGCAGUCCCCUCAAAUAAAAGCUCCUUUCUCCAAACCCACUUGGUGUCUUGCUUAAUUCUGAUCUGGAGACCUAGAGACUAGACUCUCAGCUAGUAUAAACGAGUGAAGUAUACCACAUAACAGCAACUGAGGAUCUGGAAAAUUAUAUCUACCAAUAACUUCUUACUUCAUGUGGGUUCUACCCAAAUAAUUCACUAGCCCUCCUGUGGGAGAACAAAGCUCUGUAUAUUUCCUUUUACGAGCUGUUUUGCACAUAAAUGCUCUCUGCAGUCCCAGUACAUCUCCUCCGAAACCAGUGAGAGCAAGUUUGCAAAAUCUGCUUGUAGCUUAUUUUUAAACCCUUCCAAAAUCACGGAGGAAUGUUCAUCAGAUUGCAGAUCCUUGACGCAAAAUAACUGCUGCAUGUGCCAGCGUUUACUAAAAGCAGACGCUGUGAUAACAUUUCAUCCUUUUACUGUGCCUGCGUGGGAUGAGCGGGACAUCCUGGACUUUCCAGGCUCUGGGGCGGUUGCAUGAGGAUGGACGUGCCAUCUAGUGGCUGCUUGUCCCCAUGGUGCUCCUAGCAUGAAAGAGCAGUUUAGACUGUCUGGGCGGUGGAAAAUUCAGCUUAGCAGAUUCUUAUCCAAAAAAUCUCAAGUUGUCUGUUAUUCCCAUAGAGCAGCCAACUGGAAGAUCGUUGCACCUGGCUGGAUGGUGAGCGGGAUUGGCCACAGCCGUUGUCUGCAAUACUAGGCUGAUGGAGGGUUUGUCCAGAGUCCCUUGCACUGACCCAGGAAAAGGGACUCCUGCCACUUCCCAUGGGCAGAGAUUUCUUCCUCUAGAAGUUUCUCUCCCUCCUCUGCUUGCAAGGCUUUUCCCUCCUCAUUCCUCAUUCCCUCGCUGCCCCUUUUUGUCCCCAGUGCAGGGGUGCUGUGGGAGUGGGAGCACUGCAGAAGAGGCUCUGGAGUGCCCCUGAACCACACUUUAGCUCCCCUCCUCUUGCCAAAAACUGACUGAGGCUGCUAUGAAAGGGAUGUUAGAUGUGGGAAAGCAAUUUGCAACCCUCAGGAUCCUGCCUGCCACCAGCAGAGGUUCCCCAGCGAGAAGAAGGAGGCAGAGAGGCAUACUCCACACAGUCUCGAGGCUCCCUCCACCAAGCCUGCACUGAGCGAUCCCAUACAUCAGGCUGUAUCAAAUGCAACCGCAGAGGAGGCUUUCCCUUAUCUUUCAGGACAAUUACCAAGUUAUACAUCACUUGAGCAGUCUGGGAACUGUGGGAGAUUGUGGUUUCUGGUAAAAUGGGAAAAUCUUUUCAUGGUUAGUGCUGGCAAUGAAAUCUGUAUCCCACCUUCAUCUGGGCUGAGCCACGACGGGUGAUCAUUCUCUGAGAGAUGAGCUUCCCUUGAUGCCAAAGGGCAAGUAAAUAAAUAACUAUGUGUGAAUGUGCAUUUCGAGGAAAAAUCAUGUUUUUUUCCCCUUCUCCUCCCGCCCCCCAUUUUGCCUCAGAGAAGUUACGGGUUUUCUCAGGUCCUCAGAGAGGCUAAAAACUGUCCAAGAUGUGCUUCAGGAAAGUGAUCACUCAAAGUGAAUCAGUUUUCAGGGUCUGCUCACCAUCUGUGCGCCUUUAGGAGAAUGUCACACUUUCGGCUGGCUUCAUCCAUCUCUCUAAUUCCUUGGUUACAGUCAAAACAGUUUUAAAAGGGCUUGGUUCCCACAGUGGGAAAGUAAUGGGACACUGCUUGCUAGCAUCAUUUCACCCAGGAGCAGCUGAAGCCUCAUGGAAAUCUUUGAAAGGCAAACUCUUCUUCUGAGUUAAUUCUGCUGAUGAAGCUACCAUGCAGAGCAUUUCUCUGCUCCCUUCUUCUUCUGUUAUUGGUAAGGCAAUUUGGUUGAGAAGGGGAUCCUGCUUUCCUGAAAGGAUGCGCUGUUUCUGGUGAAGUCACCAGCAUCUGUGGCGUUGGUUCACCCACCCUCAACAUUCUGGACUGAUUUUCAGGCAGAAGGAGCCUGAUACGAUGACCAUGACUUUCUGGUCUGGCAUGUUUUGAAUUAUUAUUCUGUCUCUGUUACAUUUUUCAAGCCACCAACAGACCGUUUAGCAAUAAAGAAAUAAUUGUCUCCACAGCAGCUAAGAGGAUGCCAGCAAAGAUGCUGUGCGGCUGAGUCAUCUUCAUGUUGCAAUAGUGCUGCCCAGCUAGCCAUCCUACAAGGUUUAACAGGCCCAGACUUUUCAGCUGGGAUAAUUCAUCUCUUGCAGUCUCUUUCAAUAAGCUUCAGUAACUAUAAGGGUGAAAAAAAGUUUCCCUUUCAUUGCAGAAGACAACUGAUGGUCUCACCACCUAAGGUGUUGACUGUCACAGUAUGCAUCUUCAUUAAAUGUGGCAAGCAGUGAGGAGGCUUGGGAAAAAAAAAAAAAAAGUUCUUUCAUUGUCGGAGAGCUCAGAAAGAUCUCCUAGCACCAAGUUAUUUCUUGCAGACAGCCCAAACUGUUGGCCAAUAUCUGGAUUUCUGGUGCAGCUGACUGCCACGAGAAGAGGCCGCAUUGCUGGAAACCUUUGCAUAUCUUUGGAGGUCAGCAUGCUGGUCUUGGGCACCGAGAGGUAUUAAGGCAGUUUUGCAUGAGAUACCAUGAGAUAUGGACUCAUCCAUCCCACAUCUCAUCCAUCUAGUGGAUGAAAUUAGAGAUACAGAGAAAAGGAGAGUAGUCUGCUGUGAGUAAAUGUAUUAUACUUCUCUGAAGUGCUCCAGAAAGCUUGGGAGGACAAAAGGCUGAUGGCUUCUGUGGUCUGCUCUGGAGGAAUAAAAAUGAGUGCUGCUCUCCUAGCUUGCUUGGUUUGUGUCUUAUGGAUCUGUCAGGGUAGAGAAGGUCUUGGAAACAGAUACCCUUUAAGUUUUUAGGUUCUGCUGUCAGUCAACAGAAAACCAGAAACAGGAAAACUCAAAAUAGGUAGAAGAGAUUCAAAAAAUCUCUGGAAGUAAAGGUAAGACUUUUGGUCACUUAUAAGAUUUGGACAAGGGAAGCACGUGGGGGGCAUGACAGCUGUUUGAUGUCCAGGAGCUGCUUUUCUCUGAACAUACAGUGAUUAAGAGCUACUGUUACCCAAGACUUCAUUCCUGGCUACUUUUUCACAGCCAGCACAAUGUAAGAAGUGGAGAUUGCAGUACUGCCUGCUGGCCCAUUAUUGUCAGAGCACAAGCUCUGGAAUCUGAGCUUUAUGCAAACUGUGGGCACGUUACCACAAGCUGCACCAAAUACUUCUCCCAUGCAUCAACCUGAUGCCACUGAGUGUAGAGAACUGGCUGUGUCCAGACUGGUGCAACAUAGAAAGCAUUGGUCUGCAUGAAUCCAGGCUGGGCUGUUACUGUGAGUAAUGGGAAUUGUGGUUAGCAAGUCAAACAAGUUUCAGGGGAAUCUCUGGGAUGGAAUACACUGAAAGGAUUUCAAAGUGCUAAAAUGCUUCAGAAAUCAAGGAGUCCAACAUCAAGAAGAGCUGGAAAAAGGCAGAUCCCAGAGACAAAACAGGAAAUGCAAAGCAAAUGAGGAAGGAAGAGGACAAACGAGACAUAGUACUGCCCACUGCUGAUAGCUAAACUUUUUUUAGCGUGCUAUCUUAAGAUAGAAACAAUGAGGAAGAAGAAAGAGAGUGAAGUAAAAUGAAAUAUGCCAACUGAGAGCUCAGAAAGACAUCUUGCAAAUACAUAUCCUCGCACCCUACAAGAUGGCAAAUAGAAAUGCUGUAUCCAUGCUGUUAUCCCAGUCCCUAAUAAUGCUACUACUUUUGGCUUGUGGUCAGAAAACCUCAAAAUAGAAGAGAUACACCACAUCCCAGAAAGAGUGAAAAAGGAUGGAGAACACCACUGAUGGGAAACUCAUCUUGAACGGUCACCAACAGCAAUGGGAGUUUUUAAUUCCACACUUCGUCCAGUUUUGAUCUGGUAACCCUAGUGCUGAUGUGUUUGUUAUUUAUAGACAAUGAACAACAGUACUUAUAACAACCUUGAUAAAAACAGUUUAAGGACCACAAAUCUGUCUCACACUGGGGGGACUGAGAGAACAGAUAGCAGACACCUGGUUCAACAGCUGAGGGCCAGUUGAGAAUGGACCUAAAAACAAAGUAUGACAAUGAGUCAGUCUUCUUACCCAUGAACAAUGAGCAGCCCAAGAGCCCUCUGAGCUUUGCUGCAAAGAAGUAGGCUGCACAACAGGAUCUGCCCUUGAGAAGGGAUAUGUCUCAAGGUUAUGCCUGCAUAGAUAUCCCUUGCACCUUGACCUCAAGACAUCUUGCCAAUACAGAUCCUUGAAACCAUUCUCCAUGUCUGGGACUAGAAGUGGAUCCAGCUGUACCUCAACUCCUUACUUCCUUGAUUCAAGGAAUUUAGAAAGUAAGGGGGUCCACUCUAAACUUCAUGACUUAACACGACGGCCUCCUUUGUGUGUGUGUUUAAACCUACCCUCUAUCCAAUAGAUAACCAAGUGUAUCUAGCUAUCUCAAAUCUUGUUAAAUUUCUGUUAAAUCACUACACUAUAUCAAUAAAUAUAUUCUUGCUUCUCUCUUAUGAAUGAUUUAUAUAGUGUAGUUGUUUCCAUUUGUGAUACAGUGACUGGGGCCACUCCCAGUGGCCUCGGGACAGCCUGCUUCAUCCUGGCAGUGCAGAGCUCCAAGUGGACAUUUACAGCACGGGAUUUAUGGCUUGGCUCUUCAUAGCGGCAAGCUGCUAAAUACGCAGGGUAUGGUACAAAUUGGUUGGAGAAGAGGCACAGAGCCAGAGCUCCACAAGCAACAUGCAGGAGGUCUUGCUGACUUACAAUGUGUGUUGCACAAUGAUGGCUGCUACCAUAAACGCGGAGACAUGUGUUGCUCCAGUAGAUGCAGCAUCAUGUAAAUAUUAAUGCUGGGCUUCUUAAAAUGGCAUUCAUAAGCACAGCAUUGUUUCCUCUGCAAAAUAAGCCAUCUCUCUUCUCCAUUACCAGAAGAAAUGAGUACAUCGCUCUUCUGCUAUUUCACUUUAUCAUGGUGAGCACUAAAACAAAACAAAGAGGGAGUGAGCAGCUGGCUGUUAAAGAGCUAAAACGUGGUUUUGCCCUUCCAGCAUUCAAGCAAUCUGGAUGCCACAUCCUCACCUGGAUGCUGAAGGACACUCUGGACUCUGGCUGAAGGGGAGCCACUUCUGAUGAGUUGGCAAAAGGCUAUCCCCACAUGGGCGCAAACCUAGGAGACAUAGCAGGGCUUUUGCAGGUGCUUCUAGGCCACCCAACUCCUCAUUUCAACACGUGCUGAAUGUCUACGGUGACGGAGGGGAUAGCUUUUUGCUUCUGGUUGGAAUCCUGUUGAGAGCUGAGUGUUACCAGAAGUUGUCAUUGGUGAUGAAUGUUGCCUGUGUGAGAGGAGCUUUAGACUCAGCAAUGCAGAGCCCAUCACCAUGUCUGCUUGUACAGCCACGCUGAAUCUUGCAGGCAGACUCAGUGGAGAACGUAGCACUGAAAUUCAGGGCAAAGCCUGUUGACACAGUGUCUUUUGUUGAGAUAAGGAGAAGCUGAGCCCUUUCACCACUUCUUAAGCAAUUGUUUUAUAUGUCUUUGCCUUGAUCUUCUUCAGGAAGAAGGGAAGCUGGGGGCCCUGGUGGCUGCAGGACAAAUUUUUGUCAGGAAGUACAGCUCCCUGUGGGUCUCAGGCAAAUCCUGGCCCCAGUUUGCUGGAGGGCAGACCCACACUAGGGCAUAUCUAUCUGUCUUGGCCAUAUUAGUAAUUCCUGGAAUGCAGGGACAUCCCUGUUCCUGUCCAUCAGGACCUCUCAGGAAAGCUCUUCAGAAAGGCCUCUGCUUCUGGCUGGAGGGCCACAGCAAAAUGCAGAACACAGCAGUGUUUCUGGGCCCCAUUGUGGUCUUCUUCCUAGGCAUAGGCCCCACUGUUCCCCUGCAUGCAGUAUGGCAGCCAGGAGCGUGGCUGCAAAACAUCAAAGUUAAUUAGCAUCCAAAAGCCAAUAAAUCAAUCAAUGCAUUCCCAGCCCCCUUAGAAAAUCUCAUUAUUGGGAACCAACCCAGGAAGGGACUCCCAGGAAGAACUACAGAGGAAGAGAUUCUCCAAAGCUAUUAUUUUUAAGGUUGUACCACUUGGAGAAUAAUUAUAACCAGCAAAACGAUGUUCACAUCUCACAUUAAUAUAGAGUAAUGACUGCAUGCCUGUAGACAGCUAACCACAGAACUGAGAAGAGACUGUCAACUCUUCUGUCCUGCCAUAAUACAAAGCAUCUUGGAAAUGCUAACAGCUGCUGCACGCCAGCCUCUUGUCAUCCCUCCUUCUUAAAGACACAGACUGAGCAGAACAAGGGACUCUUCAGCUUCCCAGUAUCACUUGUAUGGGAGAUGUCAUCAUUGAUGAAUUUGCUUUGCUGGCUAAACAGAUACUGCUUGCUGACUGGUCACCUGCUCUACCUCCUGAAAUCUCAGAAAGCCUGGAAACUUCCCCAACACCAUCUCACUCCAGCUGAGAACUGAGGAAUUCUGCCGCAAGAUCCAUCAGAAACCCGCUUGAGCUUUCCAAGCCUGCUGCUCCCUUGGGGAGGGGGAAGCAGGGAGGGAGGCUUGCGUUGAUUAAUAUUAGAAGAAACUCCCCUGAAAGAAUGAUAGAUCAUGGCUUGGUGACUGCAGAAUCUUUUCUUGUUUCUUUCUUUGAUGGGAGGAGGGGGAACUGGAAACAAAAGGCCUAGGAAGGGGGGAAUGAAGGGAGGGGUGUGUUUUGAAAUCUGCUUCCUUUUGGCCACGCUUGAACUUCCAAGAGCCUGGCUUUGACUGACAUCCCUAGGAAAUGGGAGAGAAUACUCCAUGCUGAGCCGGCGCUCUGCCCAGCAGAGGAAGGAGGAGGCAUCUGGCUCUAAGGAGCUGAAAUAGAUCCCUUCAGCGCCUCUGUCAUUCAGCAUCGCAGAGGUGAGCUUGGGUUUACUGUGGGAGCAUCCUGCUCCUCCAGGCUUAGAGGGGCUCCUCGCCCUGCCUGGGUCAGAGCACCUGGGCUUUGCAUCUGCACUCUGCUCUCACAACUUGGUUGGAGCAGACAGGACAUACGCUGAUGGCUAAUGAGAAGGGAAUGGAGCAGCCUUUGCAAAACCUGGCUCUGCCCUUCCCUGUGGUGCUGUCUGCUGGUUCAGGAGAGGGCACAGACAACCAUGACUGACCCCUGAAGCAUUUCAGAGACGUUUGCUUUGGGGGCCUGGGGAGGAAAUGUGUUAAUAAGGGUAUCAUGCGUGCCAUGCAGCUGCCCCCCUGCCUGUAGCCCCAGGGAACUGAGCUCUGCGGACAUAUGUGGGGCAUAUGCCAGAACAGAGUGUCAGAGAGAAGAAAAAAAAAAAAAAAAAAACAGCCCUGAAAAGAGAGAUCUGCUGCUUGUGUUGCAUAGAGCUGGGACGGGGAGGUUAGAGGGAGGGAAGCAGGGGAGAUAAUUAAGCUUUAGCAUUAUCAAGAGCUUGAAAACUACCAUUAAGACUACAGAGGCAUUUUCUGGACAAUCCAGAGGGGUUCUCAGAACAGCCCCGGGGAACACUGUGCUUCUGGCUGUCUCCAAAGAAGCUGUGGGGAUGCCUCCUGGGCAGGCACUGACAGAAAACCCACAGGGUAUUUGUCAAUGGGUUUGCAAGUUUAAAAAUGCCUUCUUGCCUUCUGAAGACCCUCACGUCCUCUAUCCAGGACUGCAUUACUGACCUCAGGUUUGCCCUUGUGGGUAAAUCAAACACUGAUUGCUGUUCUCCAUUAAUAAUGUUAAUCUCCUAUUGGAUCUCCUGUGUUGGAUUCCAGCUAGGCUCAAGUGCUGUUGCAAUACCUCAGAGCUUCUAAAGGGCUCUUGCCUUUGGUCUUCAGAUUUCCAUGUCUGAGCCCAGGAUUUCUCAGCAGAGGACUCCUGAGAUUCUUCCCAGCAUAAAUGAAAGCUUUUUGGUGAAUGCUGAAAGCAGUGGCUACGUCACUUGAAUGGAGGAACCUCAUAAUGAUAGACAACUGCUGCCGCUGGCCUCUCACCAGGCUGUGCUGCUUAUGCCCAGAAACUCCACAGCAGCCUACCACCAAGCUGGGCCUUGUUAUCUUUGACUCGCCCUCUAACCACACCCAUCCCCCAGUGCUGCCUAGCCUGGGGAGCACCAACCAGGGAGACUUCCCCUCACACAGGAGAUUGGAGGGUACAACGCUUGCCGGCUGCAUGUGCUGCUCCUCUCCCCAUGGGACUGGCCCAUCUGCCGGCUUCAGCUGAGCGAGCUGUGUCCCACUACCCUGCUCCAGUUUCACACGGUACCGGUGAUGGAUGGCAGGCUGGGGAAGCCCGUGAAGCUUCAUCUCGCCGUGCCUCAGCCCUGCUGCCACGCUGAAACCCUGCCCUCACUGUUGAGAGACGGUCAUUUCUUUGCACGUCCGACGCUUUUCAAUUCUGUCUCUACCAAAUUUGUAUUUAUGUCCUGGGCUUUGCUGUCUGAAGCUCCAGGGAGGCCAGCAAUGGAAAGGUGAGGUGAGCUCCUGACAGAGGCCUUUUCUAGGCAGACCUGGAGACCCUCACGCAAAUUGCUCCUCAGAAUGGAGAUUUAGGAAGCUGCUGAUUGGGAGGGCUUGUGGGGCUGCAUUGGAAGGAGUGCAGGGGUAAGUGCUGGCUGCUGGACCUGGUGUGCCUUCCUGCUGGGGCUGGACAUGCAGUGCACAGGAAGGUGGUGGAUGGGAGGUGACUGGGGACGAGGCAAUGGCGUUUGCUCUGCAUGUUGGUGAGGAUCUGGGAAGAGAAUGGGUCUGGGUAUGGUCUUUCAUAAUUAUGUCAUUUAAGGUCAAGAGGAAAUCAGGUCAAGGAUUUAAGAUCAAGGAUUGUUGUCUUCUUAGGGCUGGCCAGGAAAAUACCUCGGUUUGCUGCUGCUUCCUACUCGUGCUCUCUGAAUUUUCUUUCUGGCGUUAUUACCAAUCUCAUCACUUACGUUCACCCUUGCCUCUUUUUACCUCAGCUCUUUGACCCAUGGAACAGCUGAAGGACAUUUGCAUCUCAUUUGUGAAAGGGUUAUGUGCCAGCAGAACACCUCCCAUGGUGGUACCAAAGCAAUGCAAUGUCUUCACAGAACCAGGAGUGUUCUCUCAGUCUGCAGGUGUGUUGGUUCCGAGCCAGCCUUUCACAAAAAUUGGCAGUGCCAAACUCUACUCCGAAUUAUGACCACACAGCCUGGGGUGACCUGCUUGAGCUGCACAGAUCUUUGUCUGCUGCUAGGUGGAGAAGGAUCACUGGGACUGCAGCAGCAGGAGAGGUUGUAUCUUUAGAGAGGCUUCACCAGUCUGCAGUUAUCAGGAAUGCUGCUGCCAGCAGGUGGGGGCCCAGGAGGAGAAGCUCCUCAGCUUUCCCAGUGAUUCAAACACAUGUGCCUAGGAGGAAUGAGAGAUCUUGGAACCAUAGGUACUGAGGCAUGUGGCUGACAUGUAGGGCUGAGCAUUUUGCAUGCUGUUUGGAGAACAUCACAUCUUCACUAUGUUGUACACUCCGGACUGUGUUUCUUCUGUCCACAAAUGGUUCACAUGGCUUCAUUUAGGACCUGAUCCAAGUGCUGGUGGUCACAGCUGGAGACUUCAUGCUGUCUUUGAUGGAUUUUGGAACAAUCUGAGUAGAUUUUAGUACAUCUUCAAUCAUGUUGGUAGGUAUCAACUCUACUCUUCCCAGAGUUUUGUCUAUCCUGAAAUUAGAGGGAUUUUUCCUAACCACUGGCAGUCUUGGUGCUUGAAUAUCUAGAGGAAGCAUCAGAGAAAAGUGGGCAGACUGACUGCAUCAUGACUCAGAAAUGAGUCUCAUUGAACAAGAGCCAGCACUAUGCCCAGGUGGCCAAGAAGGCCAACAGCAUCCUAGCUUGUAUCAGAAACAGUGCAGGCAGUGGGUACAGGAAGGUGAUCAUCCCUCUGUACUUGGUUCUGGUGAGGCUGCACUUCAAGUACUGUGCUCAGUUUUGGGCCCCUCACUUCAAGAAAGACAAUGAGGCCCUAAAGCAUGUUCCAAAAAGGGCAGCAAAGCUUGUGAGGGAUACGGAGCACAAAUCUUGUGGGGAGCGGCUGAGAGAGCUGGGAUUGUUCACUCCGGAGAAGAGGAGGCUCAGGGGAGACAGCUCAGGGGAGAGCAAUAAGUGCUCUCUACAACUGCCUGAAAGGAGGUUGUGAUGCAGUGGGGGUCAGCCUCUUCUCCCAGGUAACAAUGACAGGAAGAGAGGUGAUGGCUUUAAAUUGUGCCAGGGGAGGUUCAGGUUGGAUAUUAGGAAAAAAUUAUUCACAGAAAGAGAGGUGAGGUAUUGGAACAGUCUUCUCAGGAGGGUGAUGGAGUUACCAUUUCCAGUGGUUUUCAAGAAGUGUGUAGAUGUGGCACUGAGAGAUACGGCUAGUGGCAUGGUGGGGAUGAAUUGGGGUUGGACUAGAUGAUUUUAGUGGUCUUUUCCAACAUUAAUGAUUAUAUGACUCUGGGAAUUGUAAAUGGUUAUGUCAAAAUGUAAAAGCCAAAGUUCUGUGUGAAGGCUUGGCCUCCAAGAUGUGAAUUAUGAGUGGUGAAACCUUCCAUGUCAUUGAAGAAUCUGACACCUGAGAUGAGCCAUCUUGCACACUUUAUCGGCAGUUCCAUCCCACCUUUCACACAAGGUACCCUUCCCAUCCUUCUCCAAUGGGAAUUGCCCAUUUCCUGGUGCAUUGGUCCAGCUCCUCUCUCUUGCUUGAAAAUCCAUCCAAGCAGAGUGCAGCAGCACACACAGGACUGGUGCAGAGUCUCAAGACACAGCCAUGCAGUUCUAUGCUGAGCAGCCUCCAGCGUUCUCCAGGUCUCUGCCCCGUGCAGGGGAGCAGGAAGGCUCUGCGCACCCUGCAGAAGGAACGUGCCCAGAGGAGCAGGAGGCAUGUGUUCCUUACUCCAAAAACGCUGGUAGUGUUUACGAAGUCAGACACGUCAGCACAGUUAUAGUCAGUAAAGUGAGUGUAAAACUGGCCUUGUUACUUCCCAGAUCUGAGGGAUACGAAUCAAAUGUGCACAGAUGGUCGGCCACUUUCCAUAAUGAAACACGUCUUUAUUGUCCCGAGGAAGCUGCAUUUCACAACCUAAGCAUUGGGGCUUGCUUCUUUUUUUAUAUAUUUUAUUUUCUCUGCAAACUGUGGGCAGUUUUGCCCCUUUCCUUAAAUCAAAAAUUGCGGACGAUAAAGACGUGUUUCAUUACUGAGAGCUGGCCAAGCAUCUGUGUGCAAUGGACUUCAAUUUCUUCUCGAGGUUGCUGGCACAAACAUUCCCAGCCUAAGCCAGAGAGGAAACUGGAGCAAAUGCAGGGAUCUGAGUAGUCCCAAGCUUGGGGAGCUCUCGGGCUCUGUGGCUGAUUCUUUCUGGUCCACGCUCAGCUGCCACAUCCCAAACUUUGAAGGAUGUGGGGAAGUACAGACAUGAACUGGCAUUGCCAGGUGUGAAAUAUUUGGGUGCCUGCACUGGUUCCCAGAAGAAGCACAACCUCACAGGAAGCAGAUGCUGUUCUUUGAGGUUGACUAAAUUGGCCAAAGUUGCCUUGAAUGACCUGCCUAGAAAACGUAUGAUGUUAGUGAAUCCCAGGAGUUUGAUCAUUCCUACCCUCAGUGGCGAGAUUGCAGCCCCUGCUGCUGCCUGCAUGUUUGGAUUCAUGCCUCUGAAAGGGCUCUUGAGUGCUAGUGUGGGAACAUCUUCCCAGAAGCUGAUCCUGAGCUCCUUUUCACUGCUGAGGAUGUGAUGUGAUGUUUGGUCUCCACCCCUUGGGUAGCUCUAGAAUCCUCCUAGGAUCUUCCCUGCCCAGUAGAAACAGCACUGCCAUUCUGAUUUAUGUUCCUGACAGAAUACUUAACAAAUAUGCUACUUUAAAGCAUUACUGUAUUCACCUUGGGAGGAAUCCAUUCAGAGACACGGUACAAAGCAUAUGGCUGCAAUGACAGCUCUGGGACCAGGAUGUAUUUGUCUCUGGUGCAGUGGGGUUAUGCCUGCAAACAUAUAUUUUGUGAAAAGUAGCUGGCUUUGAUGACGCUUAAACAGCCAGUUCUCUUUUCAGGAAAGAACACAAAGACUAAGAAAUAAAAACAGAAAACAAGAAAGGGAGAGGGUCCCAAGAAGAAGACAAGUCAUGGUCUUCUUCUUCUUGGUCAAAAGCAUGGGGCUUUUGACCAGGCACAAGAAUAAUUGGACACGUUAUUUUAAAAGCUUCCCUAUCUGCAUAAUCUGCUGCCUGCCUGCUGGUGGGUUCCCAAACACAACAAACGACAUGUCGGGGAGGAAAGCAUAGUGGGAUUCUUGAGAGCCAUGGCUCUGAUUCUGGCUUUGCUGUCUGUUAACUCACUGUGGGAGCCAGUGCUGAAGUGGGAUACGUGCUUUCUCUUCGCACUGCAGCACAGAUGGGCUUGGCAAGGCUGCAUGGAUUCAUGUCUGUGGCUGUGGCCACACUGCAUCUCAUACCAAGGCCAGUCCCUGGGGCUGCAGCCUUAGCAUGGCUGAGGUCCUCCUUGCUCAUACCGCGAGUGUUAGUCCUGGUUUUUGUGGUUGUGGUUUCAAAACCUGCCCUGCCCCAGUUCAGAGAGCCAGCCAGCCCCCAUGCCAGUUCCAGACCCACUCUUCCUGUACUAGGGAAGGGGGAUGAGAUUUUCCCACACAGUGUGGCAGCAGCGUGACAGAACUUCUGCAUGAGAGCUGUGCCUUUCAGGAUUAUCAAAAUACAACUUUUGAUGAUAAAUUAAAGUAUACAGGUGCUUAACCUACAUAAUUAAAAACAAAGGUAAUUGACUCACUAAAAGAAUGUAUGUAUUGAACACUCUAACUGUGCUGUUGAAGCGUACUCUGCUAAAUAUAGUAAAUGCCUAUAAAAUACAGAACACGCCUGUUUAACACUUAAAUAACUUACCUUGUCUACUCUUUUAAGUCCAUCUAUAGCUUCUUCUGUCCUUGCCUAAGCACCUGGCUGCAAAGGGGCUUGACCAUGACGGACGUUCUGGGAUUUCCUCCUUCCAGCAUGUUUGGAGCAAAAGAAAACUCAAAGAAUUCACUGUCAUGUGAAUAGGUUUGUUUAAAUCCCUGUCACGGUUUUAUGAUUUUCAGUUAUUGGUAUUCCGCAUCAUUCCCUCUGACUGGAAGAUGGUAGCAGGGGAGCAAAGUACCCUGGGGAAUGUAGUAGUCCUUCUCUUCUGAGAGCCAGGUACAUGCACUACAUGAUGUUAUGAUGCGGAAUCCCAAAUGAUUUCUGGUGAUAGAUUUGAAGAGCAGCUGGUGCUUUGGCUGGGUGUGGUGCAGAGCUGAAUCUUUGCUGCGGAUGUCCUUUGGAGGAGCCUGUCUCUAUCCCAUGACUACAGGGAGAGCAGGCUAGCACCUGGGUAGGCAGGUGGCUGGAGUCACCCAUGGCUUUGCACAGCUAGUGUAUAAGGUUCUGCUGUUGAUAUUUUUCUGCCAGUGUGACUUGGGAAGCAACACUGAAGACAAGAGCGGUACGUCUACAUGAUGGUCCUUGAAUGGGAGUAUAGACUCCACAGGAGACAAAGUUAAAUAUUCCGAAGAGACAGCUCCUAGGCUGGAACUCUGAGGCAACUCUAACCUUCAGCUAGAGCCAGGAAAACCGCCUUUCUCUCACUACAAACAAGUCGUUAUGCACUUCCCUUUUUCAAAAUACAUAUAGCAGUAGAUAAGACAGAGAACCAAAUAGGUCCCAAAGGUAUUUAGUGUUUUCACAUCACCUUCAAUGAAAGAAAAGACAUUUCUGGUGAGGGCAGCAUGCCUUUUCUUUUUUUAGCUUGCAAACCUUGGCUAGAUAUAAUUGCAUGAAAUCUUCUUUCAUUGUACUCCUUGUGUUUGCAAGAUCAAAGCCCCUCAGAAUGUAAAAGGAAUCUCUACAAUAAUACCA